rnacentral:lncRNA from 1 species
AGAAAAAGAUUUUUUCGUUACAAGAAAACACAUUAAAAAUCCCUUUCAAAUAUUUGACAAUCAAAUUCAAAUUUGAACAUUAUUUUUAAUUUUUUAUAGUAAUAAGUUAGAUUUAAAAAUAAGGACAAAGUUAUUUAUGACUGAUUUCGAUAACUUAGACGAUAGCUUAACAUCAACAUGUUUUUUCUUGUUUGUUUUAUUGAUGAUUUAAAAUGCUAUCAGACUCACUAUGGUUACUUUGUGACCUACUUUCUCAUGUCCUGCUAUAAAUAUUAGUGCUGUUUAUAAACCCUCUAUACUUUCCAAAUUGUAUACAUUCCUCUUGUAUAUUGGUGUAUGCUGCUUACCAUACAAGUCCACAAUUGAUGGCCUGCCCGUUAAUCCUUCAAAUGAGAAAUAACUAUAAUUGAUUAAAACACUAAUGAAAUGAAUUUCUUAGUUAUGAAGUUUUUUGAAGAAAGUUGAAGUAAAGUAUAGUUUUUUGAAGAAAGUUGAAGUAAACUAUAUAUACUAUCAGUAUAAUAUGUAAUUGGGAUGAGAAGUUGAUCAAUCUUAGCUACAAAAAUGACCUGUCGGCAAGCAGUAUAUACUAACAAUAUUUUUAGUUAUUAGUCAUAGACGUAGGUGCUAACGAUAUAAAUUAUUUUUAUUUUAACUGUUGUAUUACAUUUAGAAGACAUUUGCAAUAAUUUAUUGUUGUUUUAAUACUCUUUACAGCUAUUUUUAGACUUGUUUUGACUUGUUGACGAAUUUUAAACUCGCAAUAAUAAAUUUGUGGCAAUUAUAUAGUUUUAGAAAAAUGUUAUGAUUUGAAAUGCAACAUUUCAUUAUAAUGGUAACUAAAUAUCUGCAUUUUAAUUUUAUUUUGAAUUAUAUGAUUUGUUAAUGAGAGUUGCAAUUCUUGUUAUUUAUUUUCCUGUCAUUCUAAGACAUGUCAGAGAUUGAAUUAUCUCCCUUCUUGAUUUUUGAAUUAACUCCCUUGAUUUUGAAUUGUCUCCCUUCUUGAUUUUUCUAGGGAAAAAAAUAGCUGAAUAGUUUAUGUGCAGAAGGACAUAUAUAUCACAUUCCCUUCAUUCAUACAUUAUCAAAAUGUUUAAUUUAGGAUUGUUGAAAUCAGAAGAUCUUUUAGGCAGGAUAUCUCUCAAUAAGGGAGAUAAUUGAAUCAUAGCUUUAUUCGUCUUUUUAAUAUACAGGGUACUUGUUGAUUUUAAAUGUGAUUAUAAACAAAUGCUUUAUUGUAUGGGGGUUAUUUCUUGUUAGUUUAGUUAUUAGCACUGUUUUGGAUAGAGAUUGUUUUCAUAUAUCAAUACAUGUAAAAUGAAAUGAAUUAUGGUAAGAAUUGUAAAAAUGAAAUGAAGCUUUUUAUACCUAUACAUUUAAUGUCAAAAGUAUGCAAAGUCAAAUAUAUAAAGCAAUAAAAUAUUUAUUUUACAACUACAUUUUGUUUGAAGGACGAUUAGAAUAGAGUUAAAGAUUAUUUUUGCAGCAUUUAUUAUUUUUUUUAAAAGAACAAAACAAUUUACAUUUUAUUGUUUUGUUUACAACUGACAUCAAUUUAAAGUGAUAUUUUUUUAUCACAUUCUUUUGAUAAUUAAAAACAAGAUGCAAAAUUAUAUGAUGAUAAAUAUUUGGAAUUAAUUAUCAUGUAAGUUGAGGCAAUCAGGCAAGAAACAUGUUCUAACUUUUACUGGAUUAUUAUAUAAUCAGGAAUUUCUGUCUCUAUAUGAUAUUUUUAAAUUGAAUUAAACCCUGACAAAAUCAAUUAAAAUGCAAAGAUUUAUUUUAAAAUAAUUAUGAAAUAUUUUGAUUGUAGAAAAUGUUUUAAAUCAUGUUUGUUUGAAAUAUUCAAAAAGUUCAAUUAUACUCAGCAGUGUUUUUGAUCUGUACAGAAAAUAAAUCAUUCACAAAUUGUUAGUUUUUAUAUAGAAAGCCUUUUUUAGGUUAAAUUUACAAAUUCAAAUUUUUAUUUUAGUUGCAUAAAAUUAUUUUAGAGGUACAGAUAACAAUGUUUGCAUACUAAUGAUAUGUUUACAUGAUGCUCAGAUUGUUUAAAAAUCCCAGUAAAAAAUAGAUAAAGCUAAACUAUGAGAAUGCUUUGUAUUGAAAAGGGAGAUAAUAAAAAAAGAAGAAAAAAAGAACAGGGAGAUAAUCUUCUUAUUACCUCCCUUGACAACUUCUACAUCAUUACUAGACUCUAUUCAUGAUAUUUAUACUCACAGAUACUACUUUUUAUAAUUCAGAAAAUUUCUUUUAUUCAGUUUCAAGUCUCUUACCUUAAGAAUUUUAGUUGUACUCCACAGAAUGAAUUUUAGUUAUUUUUUUGGGGGAUUAAAAUAAAAAGAUUUUGAUGGUCGCCUCUGUAUAAUUAAGACAUCUGUAUGCUACAGACAUACAGAUUUGUAUUAAAGCUGUGUAAAACUAUUGUUACAUGUUGAUGAUAUAUUAAGUGUCAUAGAUUAUUGUUGGACAUGCCAAAAAAUAUUGUACAUGUCAAAAUAUGCAAUAAAAUAGUGAAAAAACAGAC